AUAGCGUAUAUUAAAGUUGUUGCGGUUAAAAAGCUCGUAGUUGGAUUUCUGCUGAGGACGACCGAUCCACCCUUACGGGCGUGCGUCUGGUUUGACCGAGGCAUCCUCUUGGAAAACGGAGCUGCACUUCGCUGUGUAGCACGGUGUCUAGGAAAUUUACUUUGAGGAAAUUAGAGUGUUCCAAGCAGGCGAUUGCUUUGAAUACAUUAGCAUGGAAUAAUAAUAUAGGACGUCGGUUCUAUUUUGUUGGUUUCUAGAACUGAAGUAAUGAUUAAUAGGGAUAGUCGGGGGCAUUCGUACUUAACUGUCAGAGGUGAAAUUCUUGGAUUUGUUAAAGACGAACUACUG
rnacentral:rRNA from 1 species